GCUACACGAAGAACCUUACCUGGGUUUGACAUAUAAGUUGUAGGGAACUGAAAAGGGACCGACCUUCGGGGAGCUUAUACAGGUGUUGCAUGGCUGUCGUCAGCUCGUGUCGUGAGAUGUUCGGUUAAGUCCGCUAACGAGCGCAACCCUCGCCGUGUGUUACAAGUGUCAUACGGGACUGCCGGUAAAAAGCCGGAGGAAGGUGAGGAUGAUGUCAAGUCAGCAUGACCUUUAUAUCCAGGGCUACACACACGCUACAAUGGUCUGUACAAUUGGUUGCCAAGCCGCGAGGCGGAGCCAAUCCGUAAAGCAGGCCUCAGUUCAGAUUGCAGUCUGCAACUCGACUGCAUGAAGCCGGAGUUGCUAGUAACCGCAGGUCAGCAAUACUGCGGUGAAUACGUUCCCGGGUCUU
rnacentral:rRNA from 1 species